CUCAGGCAUUCAAAUUAGAACAAUGGUGAAUUUCCAAGGGUAGCGGUUUUUUUGAGACACUCUGUAGAGCCACAACCGCUGAGUCGUUACUUCAUACUGUAUAUUUUAGCAUUGAGAAAAUUAUCGGUCUGAGACUGAGUGUCGGUGAAUAGUGCAAGGAUAUUCACCGAAACGCAAAGUGUUGACAGUUUUUGAUGAUAUUUAUUUUUAUUUUUAUUCAAGGUGAAUUCCUUGCACUAUUCACCGAGAUUGAGCUGAAUAAUUGUUUUAGCCUAUAUCCGAAACAACAUUGAAUAAGACCCAAAAACAACGAAACUUUUUAAUAAAUUUUAAAAAUUUGUAUUUCAGCUUCCUGUAAUAUUUGCUGUAAACAAAACAGUAUUUAGCUUACAAAACAAAACAGCUUUUAGUAUACUUUUAUUCAUUAGAAAUAGCUUUACUAUUUACAAGCUUUUAGUAACUUUAUUCAUUACUCAUUAGAAAUAACUUUAAUAUUUACAAG